AACGAACGCUGGCGGCAGGCCUAACACAUGCAAGUCGAACGCCCUGGCAACAGGGAGUGGCAGACGGGUGAGUAACGCGUGGGAACGUGCCCUUCGGUUCGGAAUAACUCAGGGAAACUUGAGCUAAUACCGGAUACGUGCGAGAGCAGAAAGAUUUAUCGCCGAAGGAUCGGCCCGCGUCCGAUUAGCUAGUUGGUGAGGUAACGGCUCACCAAGGCGACGAUCGGUAGCUGGUCUGAGAGGAUGAUCAGCCACACUGGGACUGAGACACGGCCCAGACUCCUACGGGAGGCAGCAGUGGGGAAUAUUGGACAAUGGGCGCAAGCCUGAUCCAGCCAUGCCGCGUGAGUGAUGAAGGCCCUAGGGUUGUAAAGCUCUUUCGCCAGGGACGAUAAUGACGGUACCUGGAUAAGAAGCCCCGGCUAACUUCGUGCCAGCAGCCGCAAUAA
rnacentral:rRNA from 1 species